GUCCACAUAAUGUACUACCAUCACCAGUAGAUAGUAAUGUAUCCAAUACACCAGUUACUAAUAUAAGAGGUCAGUCUGAUGUAGCUAAACCCAUUAGUUCAAUACCUCAUGAUGUUCAAGGAUAUGCUGACAAUAUGA